GUUCAUUUGACAUACAUUUACUGAGCACUUAAUGUGCCAAGCCCUGUUCUGAGAGUUGAGAAGUAGCCUGGAGUAAAGCAUACAAAAAUGGCUGCCUUCUCAGAGCUUAUAUUAUUGUGUCAGGACCAGCAUUCCAGGAAAGGGGAGCAAUAAGGUCAGGGUCCCUGAGACAGGAACAUCCCUAGUGUGCUGGGAAAUAAAUAAAUCACUGCGGCUGAAGCAAUUUGAGUUCGGGUAAGAAGAACUUGAGGUCAGAAAAGUAAAAGUGGAGGCAGGGCAUAUGGGAUUGGGGUCGCAGAUUGCAUAGUGCCAUGUGGAUCAGUAUAAGAAAUUUAGCUCUUACUGUUAGGAAUUUGAGAAAUGAUUGGAAAGUUUUUUGCAAAUAAGUAACGUCAUCAGACAGUAUGUUAACUGGAUAAUUCAGGUGGCUAGGUUGAGAAUAGACCAGGGCAAGGGCAGUGUAUGAGGGCAGAAGCAUGAAGAUCAGUCAGGAUUCUAGUGUAAAAUAUUAAAGAAAGGUAAUGCAAACGAGACAGAUGAUGUUGGUCUGGGAUACAUUGACAGGAGUGGUCAAAUUCUGUUUAUAUUUUGGAAAUAGUGCAGUCAGGGUUUGCUAACUGAUUAGAUGUGGCCUUUGAGAAAGAGAAAAGUCAAGGAUGACAUCAAAGCUUUUGCCUUGAUCUACUGGAAGAAUAGGGUUACUCGAUCUCAAGUAGGAAAGACAGUAAGAGAGUGGAAUGUGAGGAGACCAGUUUAGACAUGUUAAGGGUGAGAUGUUUAUUGAGUCUAUAAUAUAAACAACCCAAAUUCAGGUAUUGAAUAGGCAAGUGGACAUACCAGUUGGGAGUUCAGGAGAGGAACCAGACUAGAACUCCCAAUUUGAGUGUCAGUAGCAUAUAGAUGCCAUUUAAAGUCAUAAGACUGUGAUAACCCAGCAGGGAAUACAGAUACAAUAAAAAAAUUCUGAAUAUAUUUUGUAUUUACAAUUGACAGGAUUUGCUGGCUGUCAAAAUGUAGGUAUAAAAGAUAAAAUUUGAGAAUGCCUCCAAGGAUUUAUAAAGAAUAAAAAAAGCUGUUGGUGGAUUGAUUCUGGGGCUCUCCAAUAAUUGAAGAUAAAGAGGAGCCAACAAAUUGGAUUGAAAAAAAUGUUUAAAGAGGUAGGAAUCAAACGAGACAAGUGUGGUAUCUUGGAAGCCAAACCAAAAAAAUAAGAAGUGUUUCAAGGAGUUAGCAAUGGUCAGCUGUGUCAAAUGCUGCUGUAUUUACAUGAAAACUCAGAAAUGACCAUUAGCUUUCAUGUGAUAGACAUCAUCAUCAAUCUGGCUUAAAAGUAGUGUCAUUUGAGUGAUGGGAGCAAAAAGGUGAUGAUGGGAACUGCUUUAAGUGAGAACAGGGGGAGAAAAAUUGUAGCAGAGAUUAUAACAUUUUAGACAAUCCUACUGAGGAAUUUUGCCACAAAAGAGAGCAAUUGCGGUGAUGGUUUCAGGGGGAGAUGUGGUCAAUCUUCCUGUUUGUUUUCUUAGUAGGAGGCAAAUACUAGUAUGUAUUUAAGCUAAUAAGAAUUGGUUAACAGAGAGGGAAACUUUAAAGAUACAUAUGAAAGCAGGGAAGAAGGGUUUACUGAAUAAUGUUUUUGGAUAGGCUAGAGAGGAUGGGGUCUAGUACAUGCAAGAAUGGUGCUGGCUUUUGCUAGGAACAUGAACAUAUCAUCUACAUGAACAAGAGAAAGGUUCAUGAUCUAAUAGGAAGACUGCA
rnacentral:lncRNA from 1 species